CUACACUCAUGAUGUUAUUAUCCAUCAACUUUGUCUUGCUCACUAUGCUUAAGGAUAGAGAAGAGCAAAUACACUUUUGGUUCUGUUGGUGUUUUCCACCAACAGGGCCCAUGCACUUGAUCUCUGCCUUGUCUCUAUGAGCAGGUACAUUUUGAGCAAAAUAUGAAGGAGUUUUACAACUCCUAGACUCCACCAAAUGAAGUCAACGAGUACACACACUGGAGAUACUGGACACUUAGGCAAUCACUGCCCUGAGAUGCUUGAGGAUGUAAACUACAUCAACAACUACUACUACUACUACUACAACCGUCCUCAACAAAACCAAGAUUGGAAUCAACGGAGGCCUAACUACGCAGAGAGGCAAUCCAGGACGCCCCGUCAUCCCGAUCUCCAUCGGCAUGGUGGACUUCCUAGAAGCACUCUGCGACUUUGGCUCCAGCAUCAACAUUAUGCUCAGGGAACUCUAUGAAAAAUUCUUUACACAUCCUUUACUAGAAACAACCAUGUGUUUGCAGCUUGCAGAUCGGGCACUAAGUUUCCCAAAGGGAAUAGUGAAGAACCUCUACGUCCGAGUUGGUACCUUAUACGAUCCAGCAGACUUCGUGGUGAUAGAGACUGGUACUAAUGAGAGGGCACCCAUCAUCCUAGGGAGGCCAUUCCUGAACAUCUCGGGAGGUAUCAUCUACGCUAGUGCUGUCAAGAUCAGUGUCUACAUCAAGGGAAGGAAGGAGACAUUUUCCUUCAAGAACAAGACUAUACAAAUCUCAGAGCAAUCCCAACAUUGACCAAGGAAGAGGACCAACAGGAGGAACAAGAACAAGCAAAUGUGUACCGAGUCAGCUAAGAUGGUUACUGCAGCUCAAGGAGGUCAAGAUCGUCAACUCAAGUCACCUUUCUUGAUCAAGAAGGACGACCCUGGUGUUCCAAGCAUCGAGUGCACAAUCAACGGAUAUUCUUUUCAGAAGACACUCUACGACACCGGAUCUAACGUCAACAUAAUGGCCGCAGUCACUUAUCAGCUCCUGCAUGGAACCAUGUCCCUACAACCAACAUACAUUCAGCUCCAGAUGGCAGAUCAGACAUUCUGAAAGAUUGAAGGUUAUUGAUAUGGGAGAAGACGAGUACGAUCCACCCAUCAUCCUUGGAAGACCGUUCUUUAGCACCAGUAAAGCAAUCAUAUACAUUGGAACCAGAGAAGUCCACAUACACUUCCCCUCAGAGAAGGUACGCCACUGUUUUACUGACCCUAACUAUAUAGUUGAAGACUCUAAGCAGGUCAGGACAAGAAGACGACGACGCAACCGCAACUAGAGGAGGCAAAUCAUCAAGGACGGAUGGGUAGACUAUGAAGGAGAAGUUGUACGGUCUGAAGACAUACAAGUUGAACAGAACUGUCCUGAGGAGACCGUAGCACCGAGUCAGGUGUGGAAAGAGAAGAUAGUUAUACACGAAGAGGAAGCACCGUCGGAACCACCGACUACGCCAUCCAGCGAAUCCCAGAAUGACUGAGAAAAUUGGAGAGUCCCGUUCGGAGGACUUAAAAACACCGAACGCCUUGCCAAGAGGUAAACUUGGUAGUUAUUUUUUUUCUUUCAAUUAUUUAAAAUAGUUUGCUUAGUUAAUCAGGUUCAUAUCAUCUUGAAAAGAAAAUAAAAAUGUUAAAAAUAGUAAGCCCCAUGUGAGUAUGCUCAUGGCAUAAAACCCAUAAGUACAUUCACUGUGGUGGCAUAAAAAAAUAAAAUAAAUAUAUUCCUAUCCUAUAAAAAUGAAAAUAUAAAAAUAAAUUUAUGAUCCUACCAAAGAAAGUAAUAUUUAUUGAGGAGGCUCAACAUGAUAAAGGCUAGAUAUUUAUGCUAACACUUAACUAGUUCCACAAAGCUUUGUUGUCUAUUUGAGCUCCACAGAAUUCAAGGAUCAAAGAAGACUAGCAGACGGAGGACAUCCUAAUCGCUGUCAGGGUGCUGCCACAUUCAAAUACACCUCCGCCACCUGCUAGCUACAUCAGAAGGAAUUACGUCAAAACCCAGCUUUGGGGAGAGCAACCCCAUUUAUCCAGCUAAGUGCUCUACUUAUGUUUAUACUUUACUUAAAUAAUAAAAAAGAUGCACAAUCAUAAAAACCCAAAUAAAGAUUUUGUGCUUAUAUAUAUAUAUAUAUCUUUGCUUAGUUUGCUAAAUAAAUAAAUAAAUAAAAUUUGCUAUGAAUCCUCAUGAUAAGCUCUCACAUGGAAAGAUGAAUAGUUGCUCUGCCAUGACUAGUUCUCAAAAUUGAAAUCUCUCUCAAGUUUAGGCAUCACUGUUAUUAAUUAAGAUUUGCUCUAAACCUGAACUUGUGGGAAGAGUACUUGAUCUAAAGUCUAAGUCGUUAACGGAUAUGAUAUGGGAAGGUUGAGCUGCUGUUUAUCUGUUCCUAGAGAUGCUAGAAUUCUGGAGAAUUUUAUCUUUGAAAAUCUUUAAAAUAUUACAUGAUGAGUUCCUAUAUAAUGAGAGUUUAAAUUCCUACCACAGCCAUAUAUACAUGCUUGCUAGACUUUGAGCCACACAUUUACUUUUUACUGCUUAUGAGCAUUGAGUGUGGUCAAGCUGUGUAGACCCUUAGGAGCUUGUCAUGUGGUUAAGUCAAGAUUCACUUGCACGUUCACUCAUACAUGCUGCUUCUACUCUGGAAGUACGCAUCCACACACAUCCACUCAUUUCCAUCUCCAGAGCCACCUAAAAAUAUUCUACUCCUAAUCCGGGAGAGAAUAGCCAAAAACAUUUCUGUUUUUCCCCUGUGAAAUAAAUGCUCAAGUUAUCUUGGUUACUACCACUUGCUAUAUUAUUUCAGGAGAUGAGUGCUCUAAUAUAAAAAAAGAGAGAAAAAAAUAAAUACGAGGAAAUAAAAAGGGGCAAGUGCCCGGAACCUCGAAAGAAAAGAAAAAAAAGUGAGACGAGAGGUAAAAAUGGACAAGUGUCCGACAGUAGAAUUAGGGGUACAAGAUACCCACCUGAGAGAAAAGAAAAAGAAAAUAUAGAGCAUCUCAUUCUCCUCAAAAAGUUUCAAAAGAGCAAGAAAGGUAUGUACCCCCUCAAAAGAGCACAAGUAGAAUUAGACUUUCACUAUUGUUAUUACCAUCAUCACCAUACAUCAUUCAUUCGCCACACAUGCACAUCUUGAUUUGACUUAUUGACUUGUUCUUCUAGAUCCAUGGUUUGACUAUGCAAUAAAUGUCUUGUAAGUAUGUAUUAGCUGUCUCCCACCUAUGAGCUCCAGAUAUCAAAAGCCUUAUUAGAGUAGGGUGAGAGAGAAGGCAAUGCCACUAUGCCUUAUACCACAACUACCACAUACUUUGAGAGAAGGCAUACACCAUUCAUGCCUUGGUAAGGAUCCAGAAAUACCACAAAAGAGAGACUAGAGAGAGUCAUACAAGGAAUGUCUGAGUUUUAUUUGAAAAUCUGCAAAAACUCUAGAGCUAUAGUUGAUCAAGAAUAAGAGACAUGGUGCUUGACUAGACCGUUCUAUCUUUUAACUACUCAAGACAGAAGUGACGGUUACAAGUCCCAUGUGUUGGGUAUUUUAAACGCAAACAGAAAAAUCCGCAAGCGCACGGAUACCGAUGUAGCCUUCACCCGGGAGUAUUCCAGAGUAUCGAUUUUCCACAGGGAACGUGAGUGUACUAAUUAAGAAUCAAGAUCGCCCAAGGAUAACUAUAUAAGUAUUUUUGGUGGGAAGAGAGGAAGUUUCCUGAGAGUUCUCUAGUUGAUCUAAGAAUCAAGAAUUACUUCAAGAUUAUCUAUAUCGGGACAUCAGAGCACUAACCACAGAAAGAGAUGAGAAGGGGGCUAGGAAGGUCUGACUACGGUCCUACAAACACCGAUCCGAACGUGGUGGAAUACGUCGACCGUUAGGGCUGUCACUACCCUAAGGCUACCACAACAAUCCGUAGGAUUGGGUGCAAUUCCAGGUAAUUGCAAGACUAAACACCACGUCUAAUCUAUUAAUUACUACUCUAGCGUUAUAAAGACUAGAGCACUUGAUGCAAGUGGGAAUCCAAUAAAUAACUUGAAUAUAAAUAAAAGUAAUUAGAGAACUCAGGAUUAUGAAUUGAAGAACCUGGAGAACGAUGAAGAACGAACCAGAUGCUGCAAAAGUAUAAUGUUGAGGAAGAUCCGACAGAUUCGGCUCCUCCUCCGCUCUCCUCUUCUCUCUUCCUAUUUUCUAGAUUACAACUAGAACUAACUAGAACUAGAACUAGAGGAACUAGAACUAGAACUAGAUGAACUAGAACUAGAUCUAGAUGAACUAGAGGUAGAACUAGAAGAACUAGAGGGAUCCUCUCUACUUGGAUGAAGAAUUGAAACCCUAGCUUUGAUUCUGUAGAAGAGGUAUGAUCUCCAGGGGCCAGGGGGGUCUGGUUUUAUAGUCCCUUCAAGUGAAUUUGGGCCGUCGGAUCAAACCGACAUUGAUCGUGUGGUUUUCCUUGAAGUAUUAGGUCGGUGGAGCAAGAUCCCCGAACUUCACCCUGAUUGGUCCAGGGGGGAGGGCGGGCGCCCUCAGGACUAGGGCGGGCGCCCUGUCCCUGAGGCCUCUCGGCUUCCGCUUCAGUCCCGUGGCUUCUGGAGUCUUCUAGAUGAUAGAAAAUUGCACGGCACGUUAAUAUCUCUAUGUAAACCCGACGUGUGGGCCUUUCCUCCAUAUUUCCUGAUAACCCCCUGCAGAAAUAGACAAACACCAAAACUCGUGGAAUUCUGUCAGAUAAAACCCUAAGUCUAGGUGUUGGUUGCAUUUGGAUCCUUUUCUAUGAUUAAUUGAUGGUUAAAUGUGAGCAUUAAGGACCGUCAACAAGCUCCCCCAAGCUUAACCUUUGCUCGUCCCUGAGCAAAGAUGAACUCAAGAGUUUCUGCAGUGGUUUAAUAACUUAAAGAUACAUGCGUUUAAACAAGAUCUCAUCUCUGGUUAGAGUAAACAGUUAAGACUUAAAACUUACUCAUUUACCUUUCACCAUGGGACUUGUAACCGUCACUUGUGUCUUGAGCAGUUAAAAGAUAGAACAGUCUAGUCAAGCGUCAUGUCUCUUGUUCUUCGAUUAACUAUAGCUCUGGAGUUUUUGCAGAUUUUCAAAUAAAACUCAGAGAUUCCUUGUAUGACUCUCUCUAGUCUCUCUUUUGUGGUAUUUCUGGAUCCUUACCAAGGCAAUAAUGGUGUAUGCCUUCUCUCAAAGUAUGUAGUAUUUUUGGUAUGGGGCAUAGUGGCAUUGCCUUCUCUCUCACCCUACUCUAAUAAGGUUUUGAUAUCUGGAGCUCAUAGGUGGGAGACAGCUAAUACAUACUUACAAGACAUUUAUUGCAUCGUCAAACCAUGGAUCCAGAAGAACAAGUCAAUAAGUCAAAUCAAGAUGUGCAUGUGUGGCGAAUGAAUGGUGUAUGGUAAUGAUGGUGAUAACAAUGGUGAAAGUCUAAUUCUACUUGUGCUCUUUUGAGGGGAUACAUACCUUUCUUGCACUUUGAAACUUUUUGAGGAGAAUGAGAUGCUCUAUAUUUUCUUUUUUCUUUUCUCUCAGGUGGGUAUCUUGUACCCCUAAUUCUACUGUCGGACACUUGUCCAUUUUUACCUCUCGUCUCACUUUUUUUUCUCCGAGCUUUCGGGCACUUGCCCCUUUUUAUUUCCUCAUAUUUUUCUCUCUUUUUUUUAGAGCACUCAUCUCAUGAGAUAAUGUAGCAAGUGGUAGUAACAAGAUAACUUGAGCAUUUAUUUCACAGGGGAAAACAGAAAUGUUUUUGGCUAUUCUCUCCGGGAUUAGGAGUAGAAUAUUUUUAGGUGAUUCUGGAGAUGGAAAUGGGUGGAUAUAUGUGGAUGGUACUUCCGGAGUAGAAGUAGCAUGUGUGAGUGAACGUGCAAAUGAAUCUUGAUUUAACCACAUGACAAGCUCCUAAGGGUCUACACAGCUUGACCACACUCAAUGCUCAUAAGCAGUAAAAAGUAAAUGUCUGGCUCAAAGUCUAGCAAGCAUGUAUAUAUGGCUGUGGUAGGAAUUUAAACUCUCAUCAUACUGGAACUCAUCAUGCAACAUUUUAAAGUUUUUUUUCAAAGAUAAAAUUCUCCAGAAUUCUAGCAUUUCUAGGAACAGAUAAACAACAGCUCAACCUUCCCAUAUCACAUCCGUUAAUGACUUAGACUUCAGAUCAAGUACUCUUCCCACAAGUUCAGGUUUAGAGCAAAUCUUAAUUAAUACCAGUCAUGCCUAAACUUGAGAGAGAUUUCAAUUUAAGAACUAGUCAUAGCAGAGUAACUAUUCAUCAUUUCCAUGUGAGAGAUUAUCAUGAGGGUUCAUAGCAAACUUUAUUUAUUUAUUUAUUUAGCAAACUAAGCAAAGAUAUAUAUAUAUAUAUAAGCACAAAAUGUUUAUUUGGGUUUAUAUGAUUAUGCAUCUUUUUAUUAUUAGAGUAAAGUAUAAACAUGAGUAGAAUACUUAGCUGGAUAAAUGGGGGUGCUCUCCCCCAAGCUGGAUUUUGACGUAGUUUCUUCUAAUGUAGCUAGCAAGUGGUGGAGGUGUAUUUGAAUGUCAGCAGCACCCUGACAGUGAUUAGGAUGUCCUCCGUCUGCUAGUCUUCUUUGAUCCUUGAAUUCUGUGGAGCUUAAAUAGACAACAAAGCUUUGUGGAACUGGUUAAGUGUUAGCAUAAAUACCUAGCCUUUAUCAUGUUGAGCCUCCUCAAUAAAUGUCUUUAUUUAGAUCAUAAAUUUAUUUUUAUAUUUUCAUUUUUAUAGGACAGGAAUAUAUUUAUUUUAAUUUUACGCCACCACAGUGAAUGUACUUAUGGAUUUUAUGCCAUGAGCAUACUCACAUGGGGCUUACUAUCUUCAACAUUUUUAUUUUCUUUUCAAGAUGAUGUGAACCUGAUUAACUAAGGAAACUAUUUUAAAUAAUUGAAAGAAAAAAGAUAACUACCAAGUUUACCACUUGGCAAGGCGUUCGGUGUUUUUAAGUCCUCCGAACAGGACUCUCCGUUUCCUGAGUCAUUCUAGGAUUCGCUGGAUGGCGUAGUCGGUGGUUCCGAUAGUGCUUCCUCUUCGUGUAUAACUAUCUUCUCUUUCCACACCUGACUCGGUGCUACGGUCUCCUCAGGACAGUUCUGUUCAAGUUGUAUGUCUUCAGACCUUACAACUUCUCCUUCAUAGUCUACCCAUCCGUCCUUGAUGAUUUGCCUCCUCUGGUUGCGGUUGCAUCAUCGUCUUCUUGUCCUAACCUGCUUAGAGUCUUCAACUAUAUAGUUAGGGUCAGUAAAACAGUGGCGUACCUUCUCUGAGGGGAAGUGCAUGUGGACUUCUCUGGUUCCAAUGUAGAUGAUUGCUUUAACGGUGCUGAGGAAUGGUCUUCCAAGGAUGACAGGUGGAUUGUACUCGUCUUCUCCCAUGACAAUAACCUUACGGAAUGUCUAAUCUGCCAUCUGGAGCUGGUGUCGCAAAGCGUCUUCUGGAAGUUGUAUAUGUUGAUUGUGCACUUGAUGCCUAGAACACCAGGGUCGUCCUUCUUGAUCAAGAAAGACGACUUGAGUUGACGAUCUUGACCUUCUUGAGCUGCAGUGACAAUCUUAGCUGACUCAGUCCACAUUUGCUUGUUUCUUUCUGUUCCUCAUGUUUGUCCUCUUCCUUGGUUCAUGUCGGGAUUGCUCUAAGAUUUGUGUAGUCUUGUUCUUGAAGGAAAACGUCUCCGUCCUUCCCUUGAUGUAGAAACUGAUCUUGGCAGCACUAGCGUAGAUGACAGCUCCCGAGGUGUUCAGGAAUGGCCUCCCUAGGAUGGGUGCUCUCUCAUCAGUACCAGUCUCUAUCACCACGAAGUCUGCUGGGGCGUACAAGGUACCAACUCGGACGAAGAGGUUGUUCAAUAUUCUCUUUGGGAAACUUAGCGUACGAUCUGCAAGCUGCAAACACAUGGUUGUUUCUAGGAAAGGAUGUGUAAAGAAUUUUUCAUAGAGUACCCUGGGCAUAAUGUUGACGCUGGAGCCAAUGUCACAGAGUGCUUCUGGGAAGUCCACCAUGCCGAUGGAGAUCGGGAUGACAGGGCGUCCUGGAUCGCCUCUCUUGACCGGCAGAAGGUCAGUAAUUACUUCCACGGGUUACUCCAGUAGCUACGUCCUCAAGCAUCUCAGGGCAGUGAUUGCCUGAGUAUCCAGUCUCUCCAGUGUGUUUGUGCUCGUAGAUCUAGGUUCUUCACUUGGUGGAGUCUGGGAGUUGUAAAAGUCCUUCAUAUUUUGCUCGAAGUGUACCUGCUCAUAGAGACAAGGCAGAGAUCAAGUGCAUGGGCCCUGUUGGUGGAAAACACCAACAGAACCAAAAGUGUAUUUGUUCUUCUCUAACCUUAAGCAUAGUGAGCAAGACAAAGUUGAUGGAUAAUAAGAUCAUGAGUAUAACAUUUAAAACACUUGUCAGAUCAAAUCGCUCAACCUAAUGGAAAGAUAAUCUAUCUAUAUUUAUGUUGUUUUUUUAUAAAAUAUAUCUUCCAAAGAUUGAGUGUGCAACAUUUAGUGUGGGAUCACAAAGGUGAAAGGACUAAACAUAUUGAAUCGAUUGGGUUGGUUAAUCUAGAAUUGUAAAUCAUACAUGUUUGUCUCUUUUAUUCAUGUGAAUGCCAGAACCAAGGAGAAGCUUAUAGAAGUGAUAGUCAAGUACCUUAAGAUGUUACCUUACUUGAAGAGUGAUGGUACAGUAUCACCUUGUGGAAGCUUUCCUCUCUUAGCGGUUGUCACCCUCCAUGGAUCAUCUCUUGUGAGCUAUGCCUUCCUUGUGUAAAUUGUUAAACUUCAUGUGUCUCUCUCUUUAUCUCUAAUGUGAGUUUAUCUCAGGACUUCCCAGGUCGAUAUUAAAAGUUUUCCUGCAGGGGUUAGUCCAACAAAAUAUCCAAUAUCUACUAUAGCAUACUAUCGGCUCAAAGAUCAACCUAGACACCAUGUCUAAUUUGAUUAGGAGGGCAUUUUAACCUAAGCAUCAUGCUUAAUUUAAACUCCCUUGGAAGUAAGAUCAUCAGCCCUAAACUAAGCACCAUGCUUAAUUAAGAGAUAAAUGAAACUACUCCAAACCUAGACAUAUACUAAAGCAAAUAAAGGUAGCAUGAGAGCAUUUAUAGAGAUCUACUCAAGUGGAGAUGAAGUAGUGUGAUUAGUCUUUAACAAAUUGAGCAUGUCUCAAAGGUAGGGACAACCAACAUAGCAACAUGGCAAAGGAUGUUUUUAUGUAAAGUACUCCCCCAAGCUUGAAUUUUGCAAAAUUCAAGUUUGGAUGAGUUUAAUUCAAUGUUGUAUGAUGAUUGGUUGGACAUACCUUGUGCUUGUCAUUCAUCUGAUCUUCUUGCUCCAAUCCUGGAAAGGUUAGUGACAAAAAUACCUGAAGGAAAAUUUUUUUUUUACAAUUAUCCUUAUAUGCUCAAUACAUAAGGUAAUGUUGCAAAUAAUUAAAAGCUCAUGUUAUGAUCUGAUCAGUGCAUAUUUUAGGACACUAAGCUUGUCCUUGGGAAACCCUCAAUUCAUGUCGGCGAAGUGGUUUCCCCUCCAACGCUGACCUAUAUCAAGAUCAACUCAACGAGAUCUGCAAAAUUUAUUAUAGACAUAUGCAUCGACAACUGCCCUUUUAAAGUUUUUAUAAAUAGAAAGGAAGUGGGGGUUGGAGAUCUCGAAUGUGGUGAUGUUGGAGAGACCAAUGGAUUGUGAAGAUGUUGCAUAUGAGCAUGGAGUAAAUGAAGUGGCUAUGAAAUAAAUUCCAUGCUCAUUAAUGCUUAGCGUGAAAUCCAUGUGGUAUGGUGAAAAUGAUAAGGUGAGUGUGGUAAAAAAAGGGAAAGAAAAAGGAUACACGGACGACUUGGUUCGAAACUAGCACAGCUACCGUUCCCCGGCAAUGGCGCCAGAAAGCUUGUUGGGUAUUUUAAACGCAAACAGAAAAAUCCGCAAACGCACGGAUACCGAUGUAGCCUUCACCCGGGAGUAUUCCAGAGUAUCGAUUUUCCACAGGGAACGUGAGUGUACUAAUUAAGAAUCAAGAUCGCCCAAGGAUAACUAUAUAAGUAUUUUUGGUGGGAAGAGAGGAAGUUUCCUGAGAGUUCUCUAGUUGAUCUAAGAAUCAAGAAUUACUUCAAGAUUAUCUAUAUCGGGACAUCAGAGCACUAACCACAGAAAGAGAUGAGAAGGGGGCUAGGAAGGUCUGACUACGGUCCUACAAACACUGAUCCGAACGUGGUGGAAUACGUCGACCGUUAGGGCUGUCACUACCCUAAGGCUACCACAACAAUCCGUAGGAUUGGGUGCAAUUCCAGGUAAUUGCAAGACUAAACACCACGUCUAAUCUAUUAAUUACUACUCUAGCGUUAUAAAGACUAGAGCACUUGAUGCAAGCGGGAAUCCAAUAAAUAACUUGAAUGUAAAUAAAAGUAAUUAGAGAACUCAGGAUUAUGAAUUGAAGAACCUGGAGAACGAUGAAGAACGAACCAGAUGCUGCAAAAGUAUAAUGUUGAGGAAGAUCCG
rnacentral:lncRNA from 1 species